rnacentral:lncRNA from 1 species
AUGUCUCUGGGAAGCCGCAGCGCGGCGGUCCGACCACCCAGCCCCCUCCCGCCGCGCCCUCUGCCCACCUGCCCCCACACAGCCACCGCCUCCGGCAGCCGCCCCAUCUCCGCCCCUUCCGGCCAGCCGAGCCUCAUGGCUUAGAUGGCGUCCAUGGCCGCAGGGGUAGCCGUGGGCUCGGCUGUGGGACACGUCAUGGGCAGCGCCCUGACCUGAGCCUUCAGAUGGGGGAGCUCGGAGCCCGUCCAGCCUGCUGCCCAGCAGACCCCCACACGCGCUGCCCCCCAGCCCCUGCAGAUGGGGUCCUGCGCCUACGAGAUCCGGCAGUUCCUGGACUGUUCGACCACGCAGAGUGACCUGUCCCUGUGUGAAGGCUUCAGCGAGGCCCUGAAGCAGUGCAAGUACAACCAUGGUCUGAGCUCCCUG